rfam:Schistosoma rodhaini strain Burundi genome assembly, scaffold: SROB_scaffold0015421
AUCCAGCUGAUGAGUCCCAAAUAGGAUGAAAAGCCUGUCCUGGAU